rnacentral:rRNA from 1 species
UCAGUUGUGAAAGUUUGCGGCUCAACCGUAAAAUUGCAGUUGAUACUGGAUAUCUUGAGUGCAGUUGAGGCAGGCGGAAUUCGUGGUGUAGCGGUGAAAUGCUUAGAUAUCACGAAGAACUCCGAUUGCGAAGGCAGCCUGCUAAGCUGCAACUGACAUUGAGGCUCGAAAGUGUGGGUAUCAAACAGGAUUAGAUACCCUGGUAGUCCACGCGGUAAACGAUGAAUACUCGCUGUUUGCGAUAUACAGCAAGCGGCCAAGCGAAAGCGUUAAGUAUUCCACCUGGGGAGUACGCCGGCAACGGUGAAACUCAAAGGAAUUGACGGGGGCCCGCACAAGCGGAGGAACAUGUGGUUUAAUUCGAUGAUACGCGAGGAACCUUACCCGGGCUUAAAUUGCAGAUGAAUUACGGUGAAAGCCGUAAGCCGCAAGGCAUCUGUGAAGGUGCUGCAUGGUUGUCGUCA